AUUGAACGCUGGCGGCAUGCCUUACACAUGCAAGUCGAACGGUAACAGGUCUUCGGAUGCUGACGAGUGGCGAACGGGUGAGUAAUACAUCGGAACGUGCCCGAGAGUGGGGGAUAACGAGGCGAAAGCUUUGCUAAUACCGCAUACGAUCUCAGGAUGAAAGCAGGGGACCGCAAGGCCUUGCGCUCACGGAGCGGCCGAUGGCAGAUCAGGUAGUUGGUGGGAUAAAAGCUUACCAAGCCGACGAUCUGUAGCUGGUCUGAGAGGACGACCAGCCACACUGGGACUGAGACACGGCCCAGACUCCUACGGGAGGCAGCAGUGGGGAAUUUUGGACAAUGGGCGCAAGCCUGAUCCAGCCAUGCCGCGUGCAGGAUGAAGGCCUUCGGGUUGUAAAGCUCUUUCGGCAGGAACGAAACGGCGAGCUCUAACAUAGCUUGCUAAUGACGGUACCUGAAGAAGAAGCACCGGCUAACUACGUGCCAGCCGCCGCAGUAAUAC
rnacentral:rRNA from 1 species